rnacentral:rRNA from 1 species
GAUGAACGCUGGCGGCGUGCCUAAUACAUGCAAGUCGAGCGAAUGGAUUAAGAGCUUGCUCUUAUGAAGUUAGCGGCGGACGGGUGAGUAGCACGUGGGUAACCUGCCCAUAAGACUGGGAUAACUCCGGGAAACCGGGGCUAAUACCGGAUAAUAUUUUGAACUGCAUGGUUCAAAAUUGAAAGGCGGCUUCGGCUGUCACUUAUGGAUGGACCCGCGUCGCAUUAGCUAGUUGGUGAGGUAACGGCUCACCAAGGCAACGAUGCGUAGCCGGCCUGAUAGUGUGAUCGGUGACACUGGGACUGAGACACGGGCCAGGUUCCGACGGGAGGCAGAAGUAGGGAAUAGUCCGAAAUGGACGAAAGUCUGGCGGAGCAACGACGCGUGAGUGAUGAAGGCUUUCGGGUCGUAAAACUCUGUUGUUAGGGAAGAACAAGUGCUAGUUGAAUAAGCUGGCACCUUGACGGUACCUAACCAGAAAGCCACGGCUAACUACGUGCCAGCCGCCGCAGUAA